rnacentral:lncRNA from 1 species
ACCUACCACAACUUUACUCUUUUCUCUCUUCUCUUUCUUCUAGAAUCGUCAUCUUCUCACCGGAUUUUCAACAUUGAAUCAAGAUCAAAGAUCCACCUAUAUAUCUUGAAGAUCCGACUAUAAAUCUUGAAGUUAAUGAUUUUGGUGGUUGUAUUUUUUCAUGUGAUUCCUUAAAUCCGUUAUAACAAUCUGAAUCCCACCAUUCAUCAAGCAACAGAGGUUAGUUUAUCAUUUUUUUUUUGAAAUAUAUAGUGUGUUUUAUUCUUAUUAAAUUAUCAAUGUUUUGAAGUUCAUAUUCUUUGAUUUUUCAGUUAUCAUUUGUUCAAUUUAGCUUUAAAGAAACAUUUAAUUUCUUUUUAAAAUUUAUUUUUUUCCUAUAAAUAGACUACUGGUUUUAAGGUUAAUUUUUGAAAUUUGAAUUAUAAGUCUGUUUCUUUAAUUAGACAUUGUUUCUAUAAAUAUGUUACGGUUAUAUUUUUUUAAAAAUUGCUUACUUCCUUUGCAGUUAUAGAUAUUUAUUUCUGAACCGAGUCUGUCCUCCAUAGUUUUUUCUGAUGUGAGUAUUUCUGAUUCGAUAUUUUGUUCGAAUUAUGAUAGUUACUUAUGUAUUUUUUUCAAUACGAAUGUUAGUUUUAUAUAUUUUAUUAAAAAAUACAACAAUUGAAUAUAUUACCAAAUAAGUUGAUGUUUGAAUUUGUAUGUUGACUUAUUUCUAGAUGUAUAUCUUAUAUUUUUAUUAACUUAUUAUUAAUUUUAGGAAACUUAUAAAUAUUUAUAAUAAUUAACAAAACAAUGAUAAUUUAUUUAUGUUAAAUUAUUUGGUCGAUUUUGUCUAUUCGUAAUUUCCAAAGUUUUGUAAAGUAAUAUUUUCAUUUAUAAGUCAAUAACGUAUCAAAGUUAUUUUAGAUAAAUUUGUUUCUUUAUUAAUUGACAAUCAUAUUUAAGUAAAAUGGAAACUACAAUAGAAUGACAAAUAAUUUUGAUGUAGAUAAUUUAUUUUUUAUCAAAAUAUAUAUAAUAUUUGUUUUGUUAUAUGGUAUUACAAUUUUAAUUAAUUAUUUAACGAUCAUUUAUUGAGUACUAAUAAAAAUCCUUAUUUUUAUUGUCACAGUUUUCUAUUUGAAUUUAGGUUUUGUUUUGAUCAAAGUUGGGUUAUGCAGGUAAGUGUUCAAUCUCAUGUUAAUUUGAAAACGCCUCAAUCUUAAGCUUCAAGAUCCCGAGUAAAUGUGAUGUUUAUUUAUGUUACUUAAUAACAUGUAAAUGGGGGAUAUCUACAAAUUUUGAUGGUACGCGACUUUUCAUUAACGACAAUUUUGAUCAGAUGCUGACAUUCAAGGAAAACUUUCUUGAAAUUGAAUUACAUCGACUUCGCUUCUACUCUCUUCUUUACGUACGUCAAGCCUUCUAAGCGUUUGAUGUUGACCAAAGUCGUACCCAAGAUCACAAAGAAAAGAGACCGUUCGUGAAUGUUGGUUAUUAUGUUAUGUUAGAUGGUUAAGUAUGAAUAUUAGAUGUGGUUUUAUCGUUGGUUUGUUUUGAUGCUUUGGGAUAGUACUUAUGGUUUGUUAGAUAUGUCUUU